UACGUAGGGUGCGAGCGUUGUCCGGAAUUAUUGGGCGUAAAGAGCUCGUAGGCGGUUUGUCGCGUCUGCUGUGAAAACUCGGGGCUUAACCCCGGGCCUGCAGUGGGUACGGGCAGACUAGAGUGCGGUAGGGGAGACUGGAAUUCCUGGUGUAGCGGUGAAAUGCGCAGAUAUCAGGAGGAACACCGGUGGCGAAGGCGGUUCUCUGGGCCUUACCUGACGCUGAGGAGCGAAAGCGUGGGGAGCGAACAGG
rnacentral:rRNA from 1 species